AUUAUGAAGUAGAUCGGGGAAGAAUUAUAAUAUUUCUUAGGACCAGCAUCAGUUAUGCUGUACUAGCAUUUUAUUGAAAGAUCCAAAUCCCCAAUAGACAUCGAGGUGUAGCAGAAUUUUCAAAUGAUAAAUUCAAUUGUUAUUACAUUCAGAUGGGGGAGAAAAGGAGGGAGGGGUAAAAAAGGGAGCUAAGUUCUCAAAUAAGAUUGUUGUAUUUGUCAAUGAAAUGCAAGUCUAUUACUACUCUUCAUCAAAAUCAGGAAAAAUAUCCACACAAAAGGUUAAGACAAAAAAAAUAACAGUUCUUUGAAUCAGACCAAACAAUUUGACUUUCUUCAAGGAACCAACAUUACAUAAUCUACAUAAACCAUCUUCAGCUAGCAUUUUGAAUUUUCCCAAAAUAAACCACAUAAUGAGUAAUAAUGUAAAACAGGUAAGUGAAAUGAAGUGCCAUAUACUAAGGAAAAGCAUUUUGAGAACUCCAAACUCUGGCUGAAUUAAACAUGUCCAACCAAUUUAGAUAGUUUAUCAGUUACAUUAGUUACAUUAGGGUUGAACGCAAAUUCUUGAGGUCAACAAUCCAUUAAACGGAGAAAAAAGCCAAA
rnacentral:misc_RNA from 1 species